rnacentral:lncRNA from 1 species
GCGUCGUUGGAACGUCCGACACGCACGUGCAAUAAAUACCGCUCGUUCUCACACGUUCGCUCACCAUUCGCUCGGAGCUACAAGCUGUGAUAAACCAUGAAGAACCUGUAUAUCGUUCUCGCUGUUGUUCUACUGUCGGCAGUGAUGCUGGCGGACGCUCAGCGGUUUCCAGGACGCCAGGUUGUCGGUCGUCAAUGUGGACGGCAACGCUGCCGACUUGGUCAACGUUGCGUCGAGGUACCAAUUAGGUGCUUCAGGGCACCCUGCCCAAGGUUGUUCAGAUGCGUCUGAAGGAAGAAAUCCCGAGAUAAAAAAAGACUCCGAAGCCCAGCUACGACAGUCUCAUAUUUAGCAGCCGACGAACGACAGCUGGUUCAAGAAGAAAUACUUUAUUUAAAAAGGAUGUGGGAGCAAAGCACAUUGACUAGUCAUUGUGGGUGUUCUGUGUUUGGAUAAUACGAAACCGCCAAGUCUUUAACGUUAAAAAUACAUUUGUGCCGACUGACCCCUCCCAUACCCCCCUCCCCCCCAUCAAAGAAAAGUAAGGAAGAUAUGGUAACAGACUGUGACGCCUGUUCAUGUGUGAUGUUUGCUCAGGAUAUAUGAUGAUGUAUCAUGAAAAUAUACUAGGAUCACCAAGAAAUGCAACACGCAGCGUCUGUUCCACGCGACGCUAUAAAACUUUCAACGAUAAUUGAGUUGUCAUGCUAUAAAUAAUGCAAUAUGAGACUAAAGCCUGCUGCACGUAACUUCGACGACACAUGGAAGGACAAGAUGGUUAUUUGCACGAAGGAUGCGCGAGAGGAAUAACCUCCCCUUCAAAUUUAUUUCAUAUUCAAUAAACUGUGCUUUUUUAUU